GCCUGGCUGGCUCAGUCGGUAGAGCAACUAACCCUUGGUCUUGGGGUCGUGAGUUCAAGCCCCACGCUGGGUA
rnacentral:tRNA from 1 species